CAAAGGCAGGGAAGAAGAAAAGUGGAAGGGAAAUGCAUGAAAAAUGUUUUCCACGCCUCAAGGAUACACAAAGAUUGUUUUGAAAUGACAGGUGAGAGCUGCAGAGAACUUGCAUCUGCUACAUCUCUGUAAAUCUCAUACGCUUGGCCGCUGAACUGAGUUUUCUCAAACAACACCAUCUGUGUGGAGACGUUGAAGCUUUGUUUUCUUUGGGACUGCACAUUGGACGCAGUUUGACUGAACACCCCCUCAUUCUGAGGACCAACAAGACCGUGAUUCACUGCAGCUCCCACAUUUCUCGCCAAGCCAGUCAGUCCUACAUCACCAAGGCGACCACCUCCAGUGAUGUGUAAAUGGUUUCAUUUUGAAGUUCUGCCAUUCAGAAAUUAGGGAAUUGGCGAUUUCGUGUAGUGAAAACGAUUCAGGUACACUUUCUACAGUGCUCGCUGCAGUUCUCCUGUCACGUCACCCACUGGAAAGAAGUGUCCUGCAGGCACUUACAAGACCCCACAUGCUUUAUGAUGAACCUCAGCAUUUGUUAGCAUUUACAUUGCAUAACCUCAGAGAUUCACCUGCUGCCCACAUGAAGUCUUAACUGCCUCACUCUGCUGCUUGUACUUUAGAGAUGACAGCAGCCACACUAUGGACUGAAGUCUCAAAAGCUUUUUUUUUUUAAAAUACUUCACUGACAGAACAAGGACUGAACAACACUUUUAAGCAUUCAGCUGCACUGGUUAAGUGACUUUCCUCAGCACAAAGACAUAAAUAUAGUGAAAUGAAUUUGUGCUGCAUGGUAUUCUGUGCUUAGUAAGAUGGAAGCAAUUAAAUGGUUGGAAAAAAAUUUUACAUGGUCUGUUUAAUACCAGGUGAGCUUUAUAACUUGUCUCCCUAUGGUGCUAUUCCCCCAAGUCAUUCUAAAUGAUAUUUCAUCAAACAGAAAAUAAUUCAUUUCUACGGUCCUUACUGGUGGGCAUAGAAAAAAAUAAUACACAAUUGCAUAUAUAUAUUAAUAAUAUUCCCUGCAAAUAAUUCUGGGGAGCUAACUAACAACGUCUGUUCCUAAAUGCUGGCCUGUUAACGAACCAGAGAUAAGUCAGCAGACGAGAGCUGACCGAUUGUCUGGAUAUUUAUUUUCCUCAGCAUGGCAGAAGAAAAGAACUAAUGGGUUGUUUGUCAAAAUCUGUGUGACUUGAUAUGUGGAGUCGGUGUCAAGUUAAUGCUGAUAUCUCAUCUGGUAUUCCGAGCACUUUCUUCCAUCAGCUAAAUAUAGGCUACAUAGCUCAGGCAUUUGCUGAUAAGUGACAUUAAUGGUUAGUAAUGUUCCUUUGUAUAAUCACCACCUGACACGGCUCAAGGUAAAUUAAUCUAUCUCGACUGUAGAUUUCCGAGAUUUCCACAUGCAUAAAGACACAGACAAGCAGUGUGCAUCUUUCUACGUCUCAUGGCUCAGCUCUUUUCUAAAAUCAAAGACGAUGCCAACACGUUUUAAGGACUUUUCCGAAAUGAACUUUAAUCUGAAAACUUCGUAAAG